rnacentral:rRNA from 1 species
AUACGGUGGGUGCAAGCGUUACUCGGAAUCACUGGGCGUAAAGCGCGCGCAGGCGGCUUGAUAAGUUGGAUGUGAAAGCCUACGGCUCAACCGUAGAACUGCAUCCAAAACUGUCAAGCUAGAGUCUGGGAGGGGAAGAUGGAAUUAGUUGUGUAGGGGUAAAAUCCGUAGAGAUAACUAGGAAUACCAAAAGCGAAGGCGAUCUUCUGGAACAGUACUGACGCUGAGGCGCGAAAGCGUGGGGAGCAAACAGGAGUAGAAACCCCAGUAGUCC